rnacentral:snRNA from 1 species
AGUUACAUCCUAAAAAUGCCUAA